AUCGACUACUCGUACCAUUGCGGUUCUGAGCGCGCCGUCCGCGCCCACCAGACAGCCGCUCGCUAGGUUUUGUUAGCC
rnacentral:sRNA from 3 species